CCUCCCACAGGCACAACAUUCCGGAAAUUCUUUCCACAACAAGAAUGACUAGUUGGCAUUCUUUUCUUCAUUAGUUCACCACCCUUUACUCGAAGAUGGUGCAUCACCUGGGCUUGAAAGGUAGAACAGAAGUUCUCCUGAGGGCCUCCUGGGUGUCGUAUGUUGUAUGAUACAUAUCAUAUAUAUACCCACCAAUAAAUGCAAGGAAAUGGCAUACGGAUAUACAGGGAAUAAUGAAUAGAGUCUGAGAGGAGUAAGUACCUGGCCGUCGGACAUUGUUAUUACUGAGUGAAGGUUGGAGAUGGGUAAGCACAGUGGUGAGACGGGAAGAGAACCAGGGAGAAGAGCAAGAGCAUCAUCACCACAGGGACGAAGAGAAGGAACAGCGGCGGUGGCGAAAGCGAUGGCAG
rnacentral:lncRNA from 1 species